rnacentral:lncRNA from 1 species
UUGAAUCGAAGUCAGUAUGUUCCACAAGGUUGUGUGGCUGGCCGUGUAGUAUAAGUCAGUAUACCCCCCUAAAUGGCACACGGCCUAGCACAUGGGCGUGUAUGGCCAUUUCAUAGGGCACACGGGCUGAACACACAUGUGUGUGGUUGGCCAUGUAACCCAAGUCAGUAUACCCUCCAGUUUUCACAUCGCCUGGCACACGGGUGUGUCCUCGGCCGUGUGAUGCAAGUCAGUAUGUAUGCCAUGUUUCCACACGGCCUAUGACACGAGCGUGUUUGGUGGCCGUGUAAGGUACACGGUCUGUUCACACUGAC